UACGAAGGGGGCUAGCGUUGUUCGGAAUCACUGGGCGUAAAGCGCGCGUAGGCGGCCGAUUAAGUCGGGGGUGAAAGCCUGUGGCUCAACCACAGAAUUGCCUUCGAUACUGAUUGGCUUGAGACCGGAAGAGGUCAGUGGAACUGCGAGUGUAGAGGUGAAAUUCGUAGAUAUUCGCAAGAACACCAGUGGCGAAGGCGGCUGACUGGUCCGGUUCUGACGCUGAGGCGCGAAAGCGUGGGGAGCAAACAGG
rnacentral:rRNA from 1 species